rnacentral:misc_RNA from 1 species
GAUGAAGAACGUAGCGAAAUGCGAUAAGUAGUGUGAAUUGCAGAAUUCAGUGAAUCAUCGAAUCUUUGAACGCACAUUGCGCCCCUUGGUAUUCCAUGGGGCAUGCCUGUUCGAGCGUCAUUUCAACCCUCAAGCUCUGCUUGGUGUUGGGCCCUGCCCGCUGCGGCCGGCCCUAAAGACAGUGGCGGUGCCGCCUGGCCCUGAGCGUAGUACAUCUCUCGCUCCAGUGCCCGGUGGUAGCCUGCCAGAACCCCAACUCUCGUGGUUGACCUCGGAUCAGGUAGGGAUACCCGCUGAACUUAAGCAUAUCAAUAAGCGGAGGA